UUGAACGCUGGCGGCAGGCCUAACACAUGCCAGUCGAGCGGAUGAAGGGAGCUUGCUCCUGGAUUCAGCGGCGGACGGGUGAGUAAUGCCUAGGAAUCUGCCUGGUAGUGGGGGAUAACGUCCGGAAACGGGCGCUAAUACCGCAUACGUCCUGAGGGAGAAAGUGGGGGAUCUUCGGACCUCACGCUAUCAGAUGAGCCUAGGUCGGAUUAGCUAGUUGGUGGGGUAAAGGCCUACCAAGGCGACGAUCCGUAACUGGUCUGAGAGGAUGAUCAGUCACACUGGAACUGAGACACGGUCCAGACUCCGACGGGAGGCAGCAGUGGGGAAUAUUGGACAAUGGGCGAAAGCCUGAUCCAGCCAUGCCGCGUGUGUGAAGAAGGUCUUCGGAUUGUAAAGCACUUUAAGUUGGGAGGAAGGGCAGUAAGUUAAUACCUUGCUGUUUUGACGUGACCAACAGAAUAAGCACCGGCUAACUUCGU
rnacentral:rRNA from 1 species